rnacentral:siRNA from 1 species
UCCACGAUAAGUAUGACAUCAUA